rnacentral:rRNA from 1 species
GACGAACGCUGGCGGCGUGCUUAACACAUGCAAGUCGAACGGAAAGGCCCUGCUUUUGUGGGGUGCUCGAGUGGCGAACGGGUGUGUAACACGUGAGUAACCUGCCCUAGACUUUGGGAUAACUUCAGGAAACUGGGGCUAAUACCGGAGAGGAGCUCCUGCUGCAGGGUGGGGGAUGGAAAGUUUGGGCGGGUGGGGGUGGACGCGCGGCUUAUCAGCUGGUUGGUGGGGGAGUGGCUUACCAGGGCAUGGACGGUUAGCCGGCCUGGGAGGGUGACCGGCCACAUUGGGACUGGGUUCCGGCCCAGCCUCCUCCGGGGGGCAGCAGUGGGGAAUAUUGCACAUUGGGCGGAGGCCUGAUGCGGCAACGCCGCGUGCGGGAUGCCGGCCUUCGGGUUGUAACCCGCUUUCGCCUGUGACGAAGCGUGUGUGACGGUAAUUGGUUAAGAAGCACCGGCUAACUACGUG